GUGGUCAAACUACCCUAUAGACUGGAAUAACCUCGGGAAACUGAGGACAAUACCGGAUAACGCCCCCACGUUUGAACACGGGGGGCCGGAAACGCUCCGGCGCUAUAGGAUGUGGCUGCGGCCGAUUAGGUAGACGGUGGGGUAACGGCCCACCGUGCCGAUAAUCGGUACGGGUUGUGAGAGCAAGAGCCCGGAGAUGGAUUCUGAGACAAGAAUCCAGGCCCUACGGGGCGCAGCAGGCGCGAAAACUUUACACUGCACGACAGUGCGAUAAGGGAACUCCAAGUGCGAGGGCAUAUAGUCCUCGCUUUUGUGUAUCGUAAGGUGGUACACGAAUAAGAGCUGGGCAAGACCGGUGCCAGCCGCCGCGGUAAUACCGGCAGCUCAAGUGAUGGCCAAUAUUAUUGGGCCUAAAGCGUCCGUAGCCGGCCGAACAGGUCCGUCGGGAAAUCUGCUCGCUCAACGAGCAGGCGUCCGACGGAAACCAGUCGGCUUGGGACCGGAAGACCCGAGGGGUACGUCUGGGGUAGGAGUGAAAUCCUGUAAUCCUAGACGGACCGCCGGUGGCGAAAGCGCCUCGGGAAGACGGAUCCGACGGUGAGGGACGAAAGCUAGGGU
rnacentral:rRNA from 1 species